rnacentral:lncRNA from 1 species
UGAGUCUGAAUUUUUGAGUGCAACCAAGUAAGUGCUUUACUAUUUGUUUCAAUUUGCCGCUGAACACUUAACAUCCUGCCAUGUUGACAAGUGCCAAGAAAGAUGAUCUUAGGCUUGUUGCCAUAAAGCUAGGUGAAAGAAUAGGCAAGAAAAUGAUGGUUAUAGAGUUGACGGAUAUCAUUAAAAAUAGCGAGAAGUAUAAAGGUGAUCCCAAAACUAUUGUAGAACUUAUAAAUUCGGUUAUUGAGGAUAGAAAGGCAGAGGAACAAAGACAAGUAGAGCUAGAAAAAAUUUAAGUUAGAAAAAGCCAAAGCAGAGAUAGAGCUGGCUCGUAUUCGAAUAGAGCUAAGAGCUGACAAUUUAACCGAAAAUGGAGUCGAUAAACAAGAAUCAUUGGACACUCUGGUUAAGAGUAUCUGUACUUUGACAAUCAAGGUUCCC